rnacentral:tRNA from 2 species
GCCGGGGUCUCCUAGCCCGGUAGGGAGCGGGCCUGCUAAGCCCGUGGCCGUAACGGCCGCGCGGGUUCAAAUCCCGCCCCCGGCG